rnacentral:lncRNA from 1 species
GGGGUAUAAGUUAACGUGUUAUGAGAUAAGUAUGGAAUAGAUAUGGGAUUAGACGAGAUCUCGUGUGUUGAGAUUCUCUUGUUACGUUUCGAGUAUAUAUGUAAAGCUUACGAUCUGAGUAAUACAACACACAUUCUCAACAUAUUCUUCCUCAGUUUACAAAAGCUUUGAUUAUAAUCACUAAAAGAGCUGGAUCACAACUCAUAAGUUUGCUCCUUUUGUUUUCCAAGGUGUAAGCCAUGGCCGGUGGAGCUCUUGCCUACGAA